rnacentral:lncRNA from 10 species
AGCAAAGUCAUCCUGUUGAAUUUGUGACUCACAGCCUCUCUGUGUCAAUAGACAGAGUCAGCCCAGAGUUAUGACUUCACAGAAAGAUGAAGCAAAAGCUGGGAGACGAGGCAGGACCAGCUUUAAAAGAAGGCUGUAAGCUCAGACAACAAGUAGCAAAAGAAACACUGACCACUCACAGGCUGGGGAUUCAGAACCUGCGGAUGUGGAGGGCCAGAGGGCUGAAUUUGCAAGUUGGGCAAUGGGGAAAGCCUUCACAAAGGAGAAAGCCUUUGGGCUGGAAUUGGAGGAGUAGGAGUCAAUAGAGAGAGAAGAGAGUAAAGGGCAAGGCCAUCAUUCCAGGUUUAGGGAGCAAGUACAAAGACACAGAGAAAUGAAAAGGCUUGGCCUGUUUGGAGAAUGUCAAGCUGUCUGGGGUUGAGAGAAAGACAUUCUAACAAGGCUUCCAUUAAAGAGGCUAGAUUUGCUGCUUGGACAUUUUCUAGCUCUUCUGAGACAACUUUUUGUUGAGUUAAGCGAAAAUGAAUGAAAAUCAGAUGGACCAUAUUUCUCUUGAAUGCACACGGGCUUAAAAACGAAGGGGAAAAAGAACUUGACAGAAUGUGUCUUGGCUUUUGCCAAACCCAAAGUAUUUGAAAAAUCACACAGUACACAUCUCGAACCCAAAAACAUGCCUGGAUUCUACCACCCCUAACUGCAGCUGCAGCCAUUUAAUAAAAUGAAUUGUGUACAAGAAAAUGGGGUCCGAAUGGAGUGAGCUUCAUUAGAGAGAAUGACUGAUGUAGGGCGGUUGGCUGGUGCCCUUGAGAAAGUACAUAUCUCAUUGCCCUUGCAGAGAAAGAGAGAGGCCCAAUGUAGAGCUUUCUAACCACGCUAUUGAAUCAAGCUCUCUUGUAGAGAACAACUAAAACCCCACAUUAUUUAACUUUAUUGUAUCAUGUGUAGGAAGAAUUCAGCAUCUCUUGUUUCUCUCCCACUCUGUUUCUCAGUUUUACACUGUGAAGUAUGACAAUGAAAAGAAACAUGUUUUACAUCAGUCUUGAUUCACAUAAAUGGAUACCAAAUAAG